rnacentral:rRNA from 1 species
UACGGAGGGUGCGAACGUUAAUCGGAAUCACUGGGCGUAAAGCGCGCGUAGGCGGUUUGCUAAGUGGGAUGUGAAAUCCCCGGGCUUAACCUGGGAAUUGCAUUUCAAACUGGCCGACUAGAGUACGGUAGAGGGAGGUAGAAUUUCCUGUGUAGCGGUGAAAUGCGUAGAUAUAGGAAGGAAUACCAGUGGCGAAGGCGGCCUCCUGGAUCGAUACUGACGCUGAGGCGCGAAAGCGUGGGGAGCGAACAGG